AAAUUGGUGCUAUAGUUCAUCGUAGCAUUAGAUUUUUGGUGUGAAUUAUAGAGUUUAUAUAAUAAAAAGUCAAACCUUUUUUGUGUGAAUUGGAGGUUGGUGGAUGUAGAUUUUUUAAGUGGUAUGUAAUAAAUUGUGCAACAGGGUGAAUGAAGUAAUACAUGAAUUACAUGAUAGCGAAAGAAAACUUGUUGUAAGACUCAAUUUUAGCCAGGGCCCAAAUACUUAAUUCUAGCCCAAAUACAAAUUAUAACCUAGUACCCAAAUAAAUUAACACCCCAAGCCCGAGUUUAAAUGCUGGCCCAAAAUACAAUUUUUGUCCUGAUUACACAAGCCCAAUGGCCCAAUUUUUUUUAGAAACAACAAACCCUAGCACUUAGAUCCUCCCUUUGGCCGACGUCGCCUCCACCUCCACGUACGCCCCCCGCACGACCCCUGGCUCGCGCGUUUCACGCCCCACGUCUGUGCGCUCCUCCUCCAUGUCUUCACGACCUGCGACCUGAGCGAGAAAAUAGCCAGAAACAACUUGUAUUCGGCUAUAAAGCCUUCAAAAUUCUCAUUGUAAAGGCCUUUGUUUUUCCUUUUCUUUUUCCAGAAAAAGAGAAUACAUAUCUAAAAACAACAAAUAUACAGAAAUCAACAAAAGCAGAAGAAUACAUUUCAAAGGUGGUUUAUCGCUAUUUCUAUUUUCCCCCCUUUAUUUUCUUUUGAAUCCGCAAUACAAAUACAAAAUAUAGGGGAGAGAGAAAGGGUCCCACCGGAGUUGUGCUCACAUUGUCGGCGGCCAUGGCGCGUCGGAUCUCCGACGAAAGUGGCACCGGUUGAAUAGGGGAGGAAAUGAGAGAAUGUUUCAAAGCUUUUAGGGUUUUUUUUUAAAAAAAUGUUAAAAUGUUUUUUUAGCAAAAAAAUGGUUUAAGUGAUACGAAUGAAACGGCG
rnacentral:lncRNA from 1 species